rnacentral:lncRNA from 1 species
GUUAACGCCAGAAUCUUUCUCCACGUCCCAAUCACGUAAGACGUCUUGAUCCUGCACAAUAAACACAGUCAACACCAAAAGCUUGACGGCUAGGACCGUCGGGGGAUAGCUCCGGCGUGAGAGUCAGUACAGGCGAUCACAAGGUUAACAAUGGAGGAAUAAAUAUCUAGUGACUUGAGAGCAAUAAUUUAUGAGUUACCUUUCACCGUGUGUCAUCCUUGCUUUAUAUCCCCAAAGUCCGGUUUGUCCUGUAUGCAACUGACUUUUCGGGCCCACAACUUUCAGCCGACUAAGCCCUGUCCAAUCCUCAUUAAAUGCAAUGCAGAGAUGACAGUCAAAGUUCUAUCCCCAAUCUACACCGGUCAAAGCCCAAGUGGAACCAUACUCAUCUAGUAAUUCGGC